GUGCCAGCAGCCGCGGUAAUACGUAGGCAGCAAGCGUUGUUCGGAGUUACUGGGCGUAAAGAGUGCGUAGGCGGUCCUGUAAGUUUGGUGUGAAAUCUCCCGGCUCAACUGGGAGGGUGCGCCGAAGACUGCAGGGCUUGAGUAUGGGAGAGGUAAGCGGAAUUCCUGGUGUAGCGGUGAAAUGCGUAGAUAUCAGGAGGAACACCUGUGGUGUAGACAGCUUACUGGACCAUAACUGACGCUGAGGCACGAAAGCGUGGGUAGCAAACAGGAUUAGAUACCCUGGUAGUCC
rnacentral:rRNA from 1 species